UGAAAAUCAGAUCAAGGGUCGAGGUGUUGCCACCUCAAUCUCUGUCAUUUGGUCCGAUCAAAAGGCCCUCACUAUAUCAGGGCUCACAAAAUAAUUAUGAGUCAACUAUAUAAAUCUGUUGGAUCUAAAUUGCCUGUCAAAAUUUGUAGAGAAGAGAAGGAAUAGUUAUUUCAUCAGGAAAGUUUCCAACUGUCCUCAAAGGCUUCCAAUAAUCCAUCAUGCUACUGGUAUCAAUCUUCCCUAGCAAUGGAGUAUUGGAAGACUUGUGGACCGUUGAAGACACAUUUCUUUCAUCGAAGUAAAUCGGGUCGAGCCAUCUAUCUAGAUUACAAAAGGAAAUUUUGAAGGAAAAAACGACAGUUGCUUUGUGGUUGAAGUUUGAGCAAUUGUGCAUGGCUAAAAGCCUAACGAGGAAAUUGCAUCUGAAGUCGAGGUUGUAUUCUCAUUGCAUGGUAGAAGACGGAUCUUUGGAAAAUCAUCUAGCUGUGCUGAAGAAGAUCAUCGCUGAUUUGAAAACUUUAAAGAUAAAGUAUGAUGAAAAAGAUUUGGCCUUAAUCAUUUUGUGUUCGCUGCUUCCUUCGUUUACUUCAUUUAGAGAUAGAUCUUGUAUAGUCGUGAUACUGUCACCAGUGAAGAUACGUAUGAUUCAUUAUUUUCAAAAGAGAGAUGAAGCAUCUGCUUGGAUUCGAGGCUGGAGAUGGAGAAGGCCUUGUUGUUCAUGAUGAUCGAGGAGAAGGGAUAAGUCAAAAUCAAAUUUCAGUAAUCAUGUUUGUUAUUAUUGCAAGAAAAAAUGACACAUUAAGAGAGAUUGCGACAAAUUGCAAAAUAAAGGUAAUUUAACUGCAAAUUAUAGAAAGCAAUCAAAACACUUCAAACGAGACCAACAUAGUCGAGUACUAUUUGAGUGAUGGAGAUAUUUUGACAAUUUCUAACAUGUAAUCCAAACUUGACGAGGAGUGAAUUUUGGAUACAACUUGUGCAUUUCAUAUGAGUCCCAAACAAACAUAUGAAACGGUGAUGCAAUGUAUCGUUGUCAUGGGUAACAACAAACCUUGUAAGGUAGCUGGUAGUGGUAGAGUCAAAUUGAAGCUGGUGGAUGGAACAUGUAGAACACUUGCUCAUGUUCGACAUAUUCCAGACUUAAAGAAAAAUAUCAUUUCGUUGAA